rnacentral:misc_RNA from 1 species
GGUUCGAUUCUGGCUCAGAUUGAACGCUGGCGGGAUACUUUACACAUGCAAGUCGAACGGCAGCACCGGACUUCGGUCUGGUGGCGGUGGCGAACGGGUGAGUAAUGUAUCGGAACGUGCCUAGUAGCGGGGGAUAACUACGCGAAAGCGUAGCUAAUACCGCAUACGCCCUUCGGGGAAAGCGGGGGACCUUCGGGCCUCGCACUAUUAGAGCAGCCGAUAUCGGAUUAGCUAGUUGGUGGGGUAACGGCUCACCAAGGCGAUCCGUAGCUGGUUUGAGAGGACGACCAGCCACACUGGGACUGAGACCUGGCCCAGACUCCUACGGGAGGCAGCAGUGGGGAAUUUGGACAAUGGGAAACCUGAUCCAGCCAUCCCGCGUGUGCGAUGAAGGCCUUCGGGUUGUAAGCACUUUUGGCAGGAAAAGC